rnacentral:rRNA from 1 species
UACGGGGGGGGCAAGCGUUGUUCGGAAUUACUGGGCGUAAAGGGCUCGUAGGCGGCCAACUAAGUCAGACGUGAAAUCCCUCGGCUUAACCGGGGAACUGCGUCUGAUACUGGAUGGCUAGAGAUUGGGAGAGGGAUGCGGAAUUCCAGGUGUAGCGGUGAAAUGCGUAGAUAUCUGGAGGAACACCGGUGGCGAAGGCGGCAUCCUGGACCGAGAUUGACGCUGAGGCGCGAAAGCCAGGGGAGCAAACGGG